UUAAUAGUUUAAUUCAGUUUUGAUGUCAACUUUUUUCUGGUUUUAGUUGUAAACUUUUAAAUAUGUAAGCCACUUUGACUCCCAGUCUUGGGGAAAAGAUGGAAUAUAUAAAUAAAAUGUUGUUCAUUGAAGGAUGCCCCAGCAGACGCCCAUUGCCCAGAAACCUCUGGUGAAUCAAAUUGUAUAUAAAUGCUAAAAGACUGUUCUCUUCAACUCACAUUCAGUACAAAGUUUUAAUCCAACUAUUUGGACUUUAAACUAGUUAUAUUCCAAAGUUCAAAUAGAUAAAUGCUGAACUGGAAGGAGAAUUUCUGGGUGGAUGAAAGCAGAUAACUAGAAGAUCACAUAAAAUCUCAGGGCUUUCAAUAGUCAGUGAUUUAAAGGUGCUCUGAUUGAAGUAGAAGGCAAAGGAGAUUUGGCUUAGUAUUGUGUUUUUCUAAUGAACAUUUUCCUAAUGAUGCAUUGCAGAAGGAAACAUGUAACCUUCCAGAUGUUUUUGGAUUUCAGGUCCUAUCAUUCCUUCUCAGUGGCUAUACUGGCUAGAACAUCUGGGUCUUACAAAUACACAACAACAUCUGGAAGGCCAUAUAAUUUUCAUCUGGAUCUUUAAAAAAGAGAGUUCACUGAAAAUCAAACACUGGAAAUUCAAAGGUGGAAAACCCAACUUUGUAGUUUUGACUUCAGUCUUCCAUCUUUUUCUAGUGGCUUUUUUUUUCUGCUGAAGAACACACAUACACUUUUUUUCUGUAAAAGGUCACCUGGACCCUUGGAGUGACAAGACCAUCACUUACAGAAUUACACUGCAUGAGAAGAAAGGAGCAAAGCUAUGCAUGCUUCUGUUAUACAACAUCUCUGGACACAGCACAGAUUUCAUUUGUAUUCCAGAAACAAGACCAAAGUUGUCCCAUCAGAGGUGGACAAAAAUGUUAGAGAGAGCAUCUCCUCCCCACAUCUAAAUUGAGAUAAUCUGCUUCUCCAUGGGCUGAAUUUGAUCCUCCCCUUCCUUCUCUAGUAAGCAAGAAAAGCAAGAUCCCUUCCUGGGCUAGACAGCUUUCAAACUGUGAGAAGACAUGGAACUGGGCUGCAUGCAUGUCAGCCAAAAUAUUUGAAUGGGCUGAUAAUCCACCUUUUUAUAUAAAAUAGAUGUAAUGAUAUGUUCUUAUGGUCUAAUAUUACUGGCAAGUAUCACUAACCAUAUGACGGCCUUUCCUUAGUUCUGUUCAAGAAUUCAGUGUGCCUCCAAAUGAUCAGAAUCAUAAGAGGGAGCAAAUGCAUUUUCGUGCCACCCUCUCCAUCAGGUUUCCUUUGCAGGGCACUGUUGUCAACAGAUGGUCAAUAGAUGAGUCAGAUAAACAAAGGGUCUUCUUUUCUCAUUGUGGACACCAAGUUCAGAAAAUCAGACUUCAGUGGUUAAAACUCAGAAAACCUUUAUUGAGAAACUGUAGAUCCAGUUUCCAGAUGUUAAUUGUCAGAACUAGCAAAUGUUACAACUGUUUAAUUAAACUACACAUAAUUUUAAAUUUCAGGCUAGGUCUUAUUUGUUAUAAUUAAUAAGCACUCUUUUCCACACUUUCCCUACUACUCCUUUUCUUUGUUGUUCCAACAGAAUCAUUUUCACAGAAACAACUUUGAACAGGUGACCACCUCCUUUCCGGUCUUAUCUCAGCACCUGGGUAUGACAUCAGCAUGACCUAACACCAGCUUUACUCUAUAAUCUAUCACACAUGAUCCCCAACAAUAUAUGGCAGAUGCUCUAAUCUGCAAAUAGCUAGCCUACCAAUACAGAGGGCUCACUAUACAACAGUUGUACAUUAUCCAUUCACACAAAAAUCACUUUGUAUGGACAGCACAAUUUAUGCCUGCAUAUGUCUACCAGUCUAUGGUUUCCACUGGAUAACCAUACCCUCUUUCUAGGUGGAUAGAGAAGAAUAUGUUUUUCAUCCCAGACCAGAGGCUUGUAGAAUUCUGAUUUUUUUUUAAAGAGAACUAAAAGUGGUGAUUUUCCUUGACUGUAAGGCUGUGAUUCUGCCCCAAACUUUUGUUUAGUUGUUUUGGGGGUAAGAUUCAGAUCCUUUAAAGUUUGGACUAAUGCCCAGAAAAAGAUUCACCACCCCAAGAUACCAGUUACCACUGAAUUAAGUGUUUUGGUUCCUUUUGAGAAACAGAUGGGUAAUGAAUUAUUAAAAUAAUUAACUACAGCAGUAACUAAUUAUUGGGGGCACAGAAUGAUAAACUGCAAUAAUUACUUUUAAAAAGUAACAUCCUGACUUUUGGAAAACAUAUUCAGGAGUAGCCAUUCUGGCCAUGCAGCAAAGUACAAUCACACCCAAAAUCCAUCUAAUAGUGACACCUUUCUUAGGCCAACCAAAAUGCCAAAAAUACACAUUGCAAGCUUUCAAAGUGUAGCUUAGCUUCGAAAGCUUGCAACAUGCAUUUUGUACAUUUUGGUUGGCCUAAGAAAGGUAUCACUGUUUGGUGGAUUUUGGAUGUUAUUGUGCUUUCGUGACUUUAGCUUGAGGAUAAUACCUAAACAGAAGUCCUGUCAUUUCCACAAGGAAGAAUUAGAAACAGCUCUGCCCCAUGUUACUCUUAUAGCUUGGGAGACUGUGUUUAACUGUUUCCUCUUCUUCUGGCUGGGUACAUUUUUAAUAUGGGUCACCUGGCCUCUCUAAUUAGCUUGUGACUUAUUUUCCCGUAACUCUGACAGAUUAUGUCAAGGUGUGCAAGGUUGGUGGCUCCCAAACAUUUGUCCUUGCCACAGAUGGAGUGUAUUAUAAAGGAUGAAACCAGACCACCACUUACUUAUUUAUAUAUUUUAUUGGAAACACCUUGCACAAAAAAAAAAGGGGGGGGGGAGAAGAGGAAAGAAUAUCUGCAUAGCAGCCUAAAGAGAAUUAUGUGCUCGCAGAACAACAGAAAAUCAGAAAAUGGAAGAAAUACAUUGAAAGUAUUUUGCUGCCAAAGAUUUCUUAUUACAUCCUGAUAAUCCAUUUUUAUGUGUAUGUGUGUAUAAUCUUCAAAGCAUAUUUUGUAAUUAUUACGACAUUUUGUUACAAAUAUAUUUGAUUUGUAUACAUUAGAUAGCUUCAAAUUAAAUGUCUUAACUUAAAUGAUAAUUCUAAGGCAAACCGGAGAAGACUCUCAUAGGGAAAAGGGUGUGCUGGAAGGAGGAAAAAGACUCUAAAAUGGAAACUCAGAACAUGUUUUGCUCGUAGUGACCAAAAUCUUCAGAAUGGCCCCCACAUGGCCUUUACUGGUGUCAGACCAUGUUUAAACCUGUGGGUGUGAAGAUGCCAGCAACAACUGGUAUGUGUAUGACAGGGACGAAUGGUGUUUAUUGCACACAUAAAGAGGUUCAUUUAAAUCUGCAGGCACAGUUAUCCAGCAGUCAUAAUGACCUAAAUCUAUCUCUGGAAAGUGCAUUUUCACUAAAUGGAAACCCCUAGCUUUUUCAUCUCUGAUGUGGGAAUUAGCUCUUUAAUUUGCCUUGAAGGAUGAUUAGUAAAGGAAUUCUCACUGUCCCAGGAAAAUUGUGUGUGAGUGUUGUGUUUAUUUGUAUGUGUGAUUUUUUUAAAAAUUACAUAUGGUGGUAAUUUAUAGUGAGCAUAAUAAAAGACUUGUUCCAAUUAA